AACGAACGCUGGCGGCAGGCCUAACACAUGCAAGUCGAACGCCCCGCAAGGGGAGUGGCAGACGGGUGAGUAACACGUGGGAACGUACCCUUCGGUUCGGAAUAACACAGAGAAAUUUGUGCUAAUACCGGAUACGUCCGAGAGGAGAAAGAUUUAUCGCCGAUGGACCGGCCCGCGUCUGAUUAGCUUGUUGGUGAGGUAACGGCUCACCAAGGAGACGAUCAUUAACUGGUCUGCGAGGAUGAUCAGCCACACUGGGACUGAGAUACGGCCCAGACUCCGACGGGAGGCAGAGGUGGGGAAUAUUAGACAAUGGGGGAAGCCCUGUUCCAGCGAGGCCGCGUGAGUGAUGAAGGCCCUAGGGUUGUAAAGCUCUUUUACCUGGGAAGAUAAUGGCUGUACCAGGGGAAUAAGCCCCGGCUAACUUCGUGCCAGCCGCCGCGGUAAAAC
rnacentral:rRNA from 1 species